UUUACUUCAUUUCCCUAACUCAUUGAACGAAAACCGAAAGUUAAUAAACAAAGUGCAUCAUCUGAAAUACUUGAUGUCAGUCUUGAACGAAGUCACAGAAUAAAGAUGAUGGUAUUUGUCCAACCAGUAUCUGGGAACACUCAACCAGUUUCGGUGGAACCGAGCGAUAUGGUGGGGACAUUAUUCCACAAACUGAGUCAUCCUAUAGAAUGCACGGCGGACGACGUGAGGUUCAUCUUUGCGGGUCAGCAGUUAAAAAAUGGCAGAACUUUCGCGGAUUACGGCAUAAGAGACGGGUCAACUAUUCAUUAUAUAUUACGAUUACGAGGAAGCUGAUUGCUAUGAAGAAAGUUAAAAUAAAAAAGAUGGACUCAACAGAUUUUUAAUACUUCCAUAGGUUAAUUUCAAAAGCAUUGUAAUUUAAAGAAAAGCUCGAUCGAUAGAGAGAGAAGAUAAUUUAAUUGUUCUUGUUUCAAUGUUGGUUAAAGUCAUGUAUAUAUUGAUGUAGAAUUUCUGUACAGCUAAACAAUAAUUGGAAUGAAA